AACGAACGCUGGCGGCAGGCCUAACACAUGCAAGUCGAACGAUGUAGCAAUACAUAGUGGCGCACGGGUGCGUAACGCGUGGGAAUAUACCCUUAGGUGCGGAAUAAUGUCUGGAAACGGACACUAAUACCGCAUAAUGACUCCGGUCCAAAGAUUUAUCGCCUAGGGAUUAGCCCGCGUCUGAUUAGUUAGUUGGUAGGGUAAUGGCCUACCAAGACGAUGAUCAGUAGCUGGUCUGAGAGGAUGAUCAGCCACACUGGAACUGAGACACGGUCCAGACUCCUACGGGAGGCAGCAGUGAGGAAUAUUGGACAAUGGGCGCAAGCCUGAUCCAGCCAUGCCGCGUGAGUGAAGAAGGCCUUAGGGUUGUAAAGCUCUUUUAAUAGUGACGAUAAUGACGGUAGCUAUAGAAAAAGCCCCGGCUAAAUUCGUGCCAGCAGCCGCGGUAA
rnacentral:rRNA from 1 species